AGUGGCGGCUAUACUGGGUUUGUCCCACCCGUUUCCAUACCGAAUACGGAAGUGAAAUAACCCGAGGCCGAUGAUAGUAGGUUUUCCUGCGAAAGUAGGUAGCUGCCACCA
rnacentral:rRNA from 4 species